rnacentral:misc_RNA from 1 species
UUUUUUUUUACACCGAUGCAACACGAUAUAGUAAAUAGCCCUGGAUUAUCGAAUUACGCCUGAGGGAUUUGGAUUUUGGUGUUAGAGGUUUUUAUUUUCUCAAGAUUGACUCUGGGUCUUGGAUUAAUGAACUUUUAAAUAGGUCAUCAGUAGCAUCAUGCCAACGGCAUUUAAAAAACAGAAAUACUCCUCUAUAAGGAGUGAGUGUCUAAGCAAAGGAAUCUUAUUUGAAGACCCCGAGUUCCCGGCAAAUAAUAAAUCCAUAUUCUAUUCCAAGAUAGACACUGAAAUUGAAUGGAAACGACCUAAGGAGCUUUGUAAGGUUCCAAAACUAGUCGUAGAAGGCGUGACCUGUGACGAUCUCAACCAGGGAGAACUCGGAAACACGUGGUUUGUGACUGCGUGCGCAAGUCUGGCACUGGAAAAGAAACUAUUUGAAAAGGUCUUACCAAACCUGAAGGAACAGGAAUGGGACGAGAGGGCGGAGAAGAACAAGUACGCCGGGGUCUUUCACUUCCACUUCUGGAGGUUCGGGGAGUGGGUGGACAUCGUCAUAGACGACCGUCUGCCUACCAAGAACGGCAAACUCAUCUUCUGUCACUCAAAGUCACGGAACGAGUUCUGGAGCGCGCUACUGGAGAAGGCGUACGCUAAGUUAUACGGAGACUACGAGUCAUUGAAUGACGGACGUAGCGCAGACGCACUCGUAGACUUCACAGGGGGCGUGGCCGAGAAACUGGUGCUGACCAGACUAGACUUGAAUGACACUAAGAUAGUGGAUCAACUGUUCUAUAAACUGAAGGAGUCAUGUGAUAAUUCGGCCCUUAUGAACUGUAAUAUAGAGUGUCAGAAAACAGAGGUGGGCAAGGAACUGCCCAACGGGCUGAUUCUGGGCCACGGUUACAACAUUACCAAGGUACUGGAGAGUAAGGUGGAGAAAAAGCUACAGGGGGCGGUGGGUAACAACACUCUACAGAUGGUGAGGCUGGCCAACCCCUGGGGGAUCAAAGAGUGGAACGGGCCCUGGUCGGACGAUUCACCAGAAUGGUCUAAAAUUAACAAGUCUGAAUGGGAGAAAAUGGGAUUGAAGUUCGAACAAGAAGGCGAGUUUUGGAUGUCGUUCCAGGAUUUCAUGAAUACCUUCACCAACAUCGACAUCUGUCACUUCGUCAACACCAGCAUCAUCAGUAUUAAGAAGACGUGGAGCGAAGCAAUGUUCCAUGGAGAGUGGACCGUGUCGGGAAGAAAUGGCGGGAACGACUUCAACUCAGCUACUUUCCUCAGUAACCCACAGUUUGUGUUUGACAUUAACGGACAGAACGACCGUGUGAUGGUGUCACUGGAACAACAUGACAUCAAGCCGGGCCGUCAGGAGCUGGGGAUACAGCUCAACACCAUAGGCUUCCAGAUCAUGAAGGUGGAAGAGAACAGGAAGUACAGGGUACACAUCGUGGGAGAGAAGGUGUUUGCGUCAGAGUACAGUAAGUCUAGGAGUGUGUUCGGCAUCAUGAUCCUCCCCAAGGGGAGGUACGUGGUGGUCCCCACUACCACCAGUUCCGACGAACUGGGGCCGUUCAUGCUCAGACUGUACACCGGAAGUAGCUCAGGAGCGAGGGAGCUAACCAUGGAGUGUCCGUCCAAUGGCUGUCCUUGUGCCGCUAACUUCGUCCUGGUUUCCACGGUAACCAUUGAAAGCUGCUCAGAGCUGGAAAUUCCACCCAAAUCAAAAGUCAAAACAAUGGACCCAUACGUAAAGAUAAUCUGUGAGGGGGAGAAGGUACAAAGCAUUGUGGUCAAUAACGAGAAAAACCCAAAGUUUGGUACCAAGGCCACCUUCUACAGAAAGAAAGUGGACCAGCCAAUAAUUGUCGAGGUGUGGAAUUGUAACACCCUUGUUGAUGAUUACAUCGCCGAGGCAAGGAUUGAAGAAAACGGAAACGAGAGCGGAAUCUCCAAAGAACUGCAGCUGUUCGGGCGGAAAAAGGAAGCCGCCAUGGAAAAGCCAGGAAAAAUGAAAAUACAUAUCUGUUCGAGUAACGACCUACAAUAUCUGUGAUUUGAGAGUGGCCAUUUUGGAAAUUCUAAUUUGCCGCUCGUCGCGACCAUAUUAGAAAAGUGUUCUCGUUCUUAAGAGAGAUUCCCUUUUACUUCUUCUAUAAGUGCACUUUUUGGAAUGCGGGAACACACGGAUUUACUAAUUUAUUUUUUUUUGUUGAAUAUGGAAGCGAGGUCUUUGAAUGAUUGGUUAUUUGAGAAUGCUGUUUAAGCCAUCUUGAUGGAACAAUACCAAGAUCUGUGAUAUUAAUUGUUAUUUAUGUGUAUAUUUUGACGAAUUUUAUUUACAAAUUCCGAUGAUUGACUAGAGCAAUUAUUAAUGUGAUUUUUGAGGUUAUCUCACAUGUGAUAAAUUCAUUUUUUUAAUUAAAUAUUGAGGGAUGUAUAUCAACAUAUUUUAUUUUUACCUUAUACAAAACCCCCAAACUGUGAUGAAAACAAACUUGUGAUUAUCCGUCCAUAGCUAGAAGGUU